UACGUGAGGGGCGAACGUUGUUCGGAGUCACUGGGCUUAAAGGGUGCGUAGGUGGUUGCGUAAGUAAGGUGUGAAAGCCCUCGGCUUACCCGGGGAAUUGCGCCUUAUACUGCGUGGCUUGAGGAUUUCAGGGGAAUGGGGAACUCCAGGUGUAGCGGUGAAAUGCGCAGAUAUCUGGGGGAAGGCCGGCGGCGAAGGCGCCAUUCUGGGAAAUUCCUGACACUGAGGCACGAAAGCGUGGGGAGCAAACAGG
rnacentral:rRNA from 1 species